CGGGAGAAUUGCUAGCUUGCUAAUAAUUCUCUAGUGGCGCACGGGUGAGUAACACGUGAGUAACCUGCCCCCAAGAGUGGGAUAGCCCCGGGAAACUGGGAUUAAUACCGCAUAAAAUCGCAAGAUUAAAGCAGCAAUGCGCUUGGGGAUGGGCUCGCGUCCUAUUAGUUAGUUGGUGAGGUAGCGGCUCACCAAGGCGAUGACGGGUAGCCGGUCUGAGAGGAUGUCCGGCCACACUGGAACUGAGACACGGUCCAGACACCUACGGGUGGCAGCAGUCGAGAAUCAUUCACAAUGGGGGAAACCCUGAUGGUGCGACGCCGCGUGGGGGAAUGAAGGUCUUCGGAUUGUAAACCCCUGUCAUGUGGGAGCAAAUUAAAAAGAUAGUACCACAAGAGGAAGAGACGGCUAACUCUGUGCCAGCAGCCGCGGUAAUACAGAGGUCUCAAGCGUUGUUCGGAAUCACUGGGCGUAAAGCGUGCGUAGGCGGUUUCGUAAGUCGUGUGUGAAAGGCGGGGGCUCAACCCCCGGACUGCACAUGAUACUGCGAGACUAGAGUAAUGGAGGGGGAACCGGAAUUCUCGGUGUAGCAGUGAAAUGCGUAGAUAUCGAGAGGAACACUCGUGGCGAAGGCGGGUUCCUGGACAUUAACUGACGCUGAGGCACGAAGGCCAGGGGAGCGAAAGGGAUUAGAUACCCCUGUAGUCCUGG
rnacentral:rRNA from 1 species